UCCAAAUUACUUUGAGAGAAAUUUCAGAUAGAAAUAAGAUCUUGAGUGUGAGGAGGAAGUUCUGUAAAAGAAAGAGAGAAAGUUGGUGAAAAACAAGAGAGAAAACGAAGGAGAGGCAAAAGCUUGACGGAAAGCGGAUAGCUGCAAAGAUCUACUGUAACAGUCUUCCAAUUGGAGAGUUAAGUCUGAUUUCUUUCCAUAAUCAUGUAGCGAACUGAAAUAAGAGUCCGUAGGUUCAAACGGAAGUCAAUUCGGAGUUAAAAUGAGAGAGAUAUGGCAAAAAUACGAAAGGGUGUCGAAUCUGCCUCCAAGGCGCGAAAAUGGGCGCCACCUCUUCUUGGGGCGCGUGGAAGCCCCUUUUUCCAUGAGAUUUCACAUAAAUACAAACCCGGUAAGGUGUGAAGCCUUAAACAUUCAAAUCUUGUCCAACUAAGUUGAGGACCGGAGCUCGAUAGCGCUACGUAUGAGGGUUCUUACCCCUGCAAGUUGGUGGAACCUCUCAUGUCUGCAUAUGUUAUGUUAUGUUAUGUCAUGACUUGUUUAAAUACAUAUGAUGGUUCUCUUGUACUUACUGAGACUCGCAAGAAUCUCAUCCCAUAUUUUUCUCCCCCAGGUGAUUAUGAAUGAGGAGAUCGGAACGUGGACGUGGAGUGUGGUGGCUAUUUGAAGAUAAUUUUUAAUAGUCGAAAAGAUGUUUCUCUCUUCUUGUAUUAGAAAUAUUUUCAAUAUUUCACUCUUAUGAUAGAUGUACACUAUUGCUACACCAUAUGUCCUUAAAGCUUAUAUAAGUUUAUGAAAAG